rnacentral:lncRNA from 1 species
AACACCUCACCUCUCACCUAAGCACCCCAUACCCAUACCCUCACCCCUACCCCAUGUGACUCCUCCUUUUUUCUUGGCCUCAAAGAAAUACACAAUAUACAUAUACACUGAUGGGGACCCAAAUUGGGAAUAAUUUUCAUAGAUAGAGAAUAUACACACAGAAAUCCUCUCCCAUUCUUGAACAACAACAACACAGCAACACAAAAAUCCACCUUCUUCACUGACCCUCAAAAAGAUUCCACACACCAAUCCUCCAUUGUUUUCAAUUUUUACUCUACAUACACACUGAGAGAUUGUAGUGAGAUACGAAGGGAGAUCCGUGAGAGAGCGAGAUAUGUGAGAGAAAAACAAUAAAGAUCUGAUUUUGAGUGGGAGAGAGGAGAGAAAACCACGAGAGAAGGGGUGUAAAAGAUGGGAGCUGAAAAAUGAGGAGAUCGAGGGUAACAGUUCCGGCGAGCUCAUGCCGAAAACUCGUCGGUAAAUCACCAAAAACCCGAUCCGUCCCUUUUCUGGCAAACGCCCAACAAAAAUCCAUCGGAAACCAUUGGGAAUCCAUCGAACUGACCCAACCAGUCCCAAUUUCGAUGAGAUCUGCCAGAAAAGGAAUGGAGAAACGACGGGUACUGGGGGUCCAAGUAUGGGUAUCUCUUUAUUUCUCGAUUUCAAUUCGAGAUGUCGAAAAUAGAACAAAAAGCGCACAUCGAGAUUGGUUUUUUUGUUGUUGAGGUUUGGUUCGAAGCUUUGAAUACGGUUGUAUUAGAAAGGAUUAUCUCCUGUUGAAAUAAAAUUGAGGUCUGAUUCUUCUAUUCUAUUUCUUCCUAUUUUUAUUUUAAUGUGAUGUUCAUGUUAUGAUUUGCGUGAUUCAUAUGGUUGAUCCAUUUGAUAAGGUGGUUAAACAAUUUCAUUUGUCGUGAUUUGUUGUUGACUUUGUAUGAAAUUUGAUUAAUCAUGUGGGUGGAAAGAAAUUUUGGGAGGCGGAAUUGAAAAGUGAUAAAAAAUGAAUAUUGAUUAUUUUGAUUCGUUGACAAUUUUUAAAUUUGGAAUAAUUAUUGAUGUCGUUAAACACAAUAGUAUCAUGAUAGGUUGAAAUUUGGUAGGCAAACGGUACUUCGGGUAAGCAAAUCCAGGAAUUGUUAAUUGUUGGAUGAUUUGAAAUGAUUGUUGAAUGAUUUGGUUUUCUAGCACUGAAAAAUGUAUUCAUUUAGCCGGGAAAUGCCCCAAGGCUCAUUGUAUUUAUUCACCGAGAAAUACCCUGACGUAUUAUGUUGGCGGAGGAUGUUCGUGAUCAAGACCCUAGGCAUCGGGUAAAGCACGGGAGCGUAGUUCAG